AAAAAAAAGAAAAAAAAAUUUUUUUUUUUUUUUUUUUUUUUUU
rnacentral:ribozyme from 1 species